UAGUCCACGCCGUAAACGAUGAAUACUAGGUGUAGGGGUUGUCAUGACCUCUGUGCCGCCGCUAACGCAUUAAGUAUUCCGCCUGGGGAGUACGGUCGCAAGAUUAAAACUCAAAGGAAUUGACGGGGGCCCGCACAAGCAGCGGAGCAUGUGGUUUAAUUCGAAGCAACGCGAAGAACCUUACCUAGACUUGACAUCUCCUGAAUUACCCGUAACUGGGGAAGCCACUUCGGUGGCAGGAAGAC
rnacentral:rRNA from 1 species